rnacentral:rRNA from 1 species
AUUGAACGCUGGCGGCAUGCCUUACACAUGCAAGUCGAACGGCAGCACGGGAGCAAUCCUGGUGGCGAGUGGCGAACGGGUGAGUAAUAUAUCGGAACGUGCCCAGUCGUGGGGGAUAACGUAGCGAAAGCUACGCUAAUACCGCAUACGAUCUACGGAUGAAAGCGGGGGAUCGCAAGACCUCGCGCGAUUGGAGCGGCCGAUAUCAGAUUAGGUAGUUGGUGAGGUAAAGGCUCACCAAGCCGACGAUCUGUAGCUGGUCUGAGAGGAUGAUCAGCCACAUUGGGACUGAGACACGGCCCAGACUCCUACGGGAGGCAGCAGUGGGGAAUAUUGGACAAUGGGCGCAAGCCUGAUCCAGCCAUGCCGCGUGUGUGAAGAAGGCCU